rnacentral:lncRNA from 1 species
UUAGUUAUCACUUGGUAUAGCAUAGGAUGUUAGGAGAUUUUUAGAUGCUAUAGAAAGCCUUAUGUAUAAAGCUUCUUAAAUAUAAAAGGGUUUUAUCAAUAGAAUAUCUUUUGAUGCUAUUAUAUUUUUUGACCUCUAUAGUAAGAAUACAUCACUUAUUGGAACUUGUUCAAUAAGUUAAAGCUAAACUUUUUAUAGGUAGAUGUCCACUGUAUUCUUAGAUAAAAAAUCAUGCCAUAUAAUAAUAUGUCAUGCUACAAUCCAUCCAAAAGUAGCAUAUAUAAAGCCUAAAUAUAGAUCCUAUAGAAUAUUAUCAUGUAGCUUCUAGUUACAUAGUUAAUAUAGAAAAAAAAGUGUUUUUUUUUCUUAUCAAUACCUUUCAAGAAUCUUUAAUCUUUUUAU